UGGAGGAGAGGGGGGUCUUGUCCAAAAAUUUGGGAAGACCAUAUGGAAGGGCUAUGGAAGAGCAUUUGGGAUAGGAGGCAGCUAUUUCAUGAUUGUGUGUCCUGGAAGGUGGAUAGAGGGGAUAAGGUUCUCUUUUGGCGUGAUAAUUGGUUGGGCGAGGGUCGCCUGAAGGAUCGAUUCCCACAGAUCUUUGCCAUUG
rnacentral:lncRNA from 1 species